GUGAGCUAGUUCAUUAAAAUAGAUUCUUUCUCUAAGUUUGUUUCUCUCAUUUAAUCUGUCUCCUGUUCUUUCCGUUUCUCUGUAGAACCUUAACUAAUCCAACUGCAAGAGGCCUGUAGAGAGAAUUGGAGACCAAGAAAUUUGAGGAAAGUUUUGCUGCGGCUUGUAAAGAUACCACCCAAACACCCAGAUUUCCUUGGAGGUUACUAUGAGGGUUAAGCACUCAGAGGAAUGGGAUUCAUUCCUUGAAGAAAAAGCACUGAUUCAAAGAGCCUAUAGAUAUUUAAUGGCCAAUCAGUAUUGCUCAGAGGGGAUCUCCUUGGCUUCAUGCAUCAACUGGACCUCAAAAUCCUUGUCAAUGACUGAAAUUGCAAAGAAUUGGAAUAUGGAGGAAUUUUCUAAGGAUGAAAAGGUCCCAGGUCACAACUCUGGCCUGUGUGAGUCACUGUGGUUGAAAAUGCUCAAAAUGAGGCUGCAUCGCUACCUGGAAACUGUGUGUAGUUAAAGGAUGUUUUACUCU
rnacentral:lncRNA from 1 species